rnacentral:rRNA from 1 species
AACGAACGCUGGCGGCAUGCCUAACACAUGCAAGUCGAACGAUACCACUGGGACAGGUGGCUCAGGGGUGAGGAAAGCGUGGGAUCGCGGCGUAAGGGUGGGAAAAACGCCCCUAACGGGGUGUUAACAUCGGGAAAUUUCCGCGAACCCAAGAUUUAUCCCAUUUGGAUGGGCCAGGGUUCGUGUAAUAAGUUGGUAGGGUAAAAGCCUACCAAGGCGACGCGCGUUAGCUGGUCUGAGUGGAGGAUCAGCCACCCUGGGACGGAGACACGGCCCCGAAUCCUACGGGAGGCAGCAGUGGGGGAUAUUGGACAAUGGGCGGAAGCCUGAACGAGCCAUGCCGCGUGAGUCAUGAAGGCCUUAGGGUUGUAAAGCUCUUUUAACCGGGAAGAUUAUGACAGUACCGAGAGAAUAAGCCCCGGCUAACUUCGUG